rnacentral:rRNA from 1 species
AUUGAACGCUGGCGGCAGGCCUAACACAUGCAAGUCGAACGAGUGGCGGACGGGUGAGUAAUGUCUGGGAAACUGCCUGAUGGAGGGGGAUACCUACUGGAAACGGUAGCUAAUACCGCAUACCAUCGGAUGUGCCCCGAUGGGAUUAGCUAGUAGGUGGGGGAAAGGCUCACCUAGGCGACUAUCCCUAGCUGGUCUGAGAGGAUGACCAGCCACACUGGAACUGAGACACGGUCCAGACUCCGACGGGAGGCAGCAGGGGGGAAUAGUGCACAAUGGGCGCAAGCCUGAUGCAGCCAUGCCGGGUGUAGGAAGAAGGCCUUCGGGUGGUAAAGUACUUUCAGCGGGGAGGCGUUACCCGCAGAAGAAGCACCGGCUAACUCCGUGCCAGCCGCCGCGGUAAUAC